AUUGAACGCUGGCGGCAGGCCUAACACAUGCAAGUCGAACGAGUGGCGGACGGGUGAGUAAUGUCUGGGAAUCUGGCUUAUGGAGGGGGAUAACUACGGGAAACUGUAGCUAAUACCGCGUACCAUAGGAUGAGCCCAAAUGGGAUUAGGUAGUAGGGGGGGUAAAGGCUCACCAAGGCGACGAUCCCUAGCUGGUCUGAGAGGAUGACCAGCCACACUGGGACUGAGACACGGCCCAGACUCCUACGGGAGGCAGCAGUGGGGAAUAUUGCACAAUGGGGGCAAGCCUGACGCAGCCAUGCCGCGUGAAUGAAGAAGGCCUUCGGGUUGUAAAGUACUUUCAGUGGGGAGGCGUUACCUGCAGAAGAAGCACCGGCUAACUCCGUGCCAGCAGCCGCGGUAAUAC
rnacentral:rRNA from 1 species